AUUGAACGCUGGCGGCAGGCCUAACACAUGCAAGUCGAGCGAGCGGCGGACGGGUGUGUAAUGUAUGGGGACUGCCCGAUAGAGGGGGAUAACUACUGGAAACGGUAGCUUAUACCGCAUAUUUUCGGAUAACCCAUAUGGGUUUAGCUAGUAGGUGCGGUAAUGGCUCACCUAGGCGACGAUCCCUAGCUGGUCUGAGAGGGUGAUGAGCCACACUGGAACUGAGACGCGGCCCGGGAGCCUACGGGGGCAGCAGAGGGGAGUAUUGCAGAGUGGGCGGAAGCCUGAUGCAGCGGUGCGGGGUGUGUGAAGAGGGCCCUAGGGAUGUGAAGGAGUUUCAGGGAGGAGGCGUUGCAGACAGAAGAAGCACCGGCUAGCUCCGUGCCAGCAGCCGCGGUAAUAC
rnacentral:rRNA from 1 species